rnacentral:sRNA from 1 species
CUUCGACUAAGGUUCGACUCGAGCGUCAGUGAGAGAACGUUGCCGCAGGCAACGGCCCGAAGGGCGAGGCGCUUUAGCGCCGAGUAAUCCUUCCCCCACUACUG